AGCGAACGCUGGAGGCAUGCCUAACACAUGCAAGUCGCACGGGGGGGCUUCGGCCUCCCAGUGGCGGACGGGUGAGGAACGCGUAGGGACCUGUCGAGGGGUGGGGGAUAACCGCGGGAAACUGCGGCUAAUACUGCAUGACGCCGCGGCGUGACAGCCGGGGCCAAAGGCGAAAGCCGCCCGCCGAGGGGCCUGCGUCCGAUUAGCUGGUUGGCGGGGUAGCGGCCCACCAAGGCGUCGAUCGGUAGCUGGUCUGAGAGGGUGAUCAGCCACACCGGGACUGAGACACGGCCCGGACUCCUACGGGAGGCAGCAGUGGGGAAUAUUGGACAAUGGGCGCAAGCCUGAUCCAGCAAUGCCGCGUGGGUGAAGAAGGUCUUCGGAUUGUAAAGCCCUUUCGGCGGGGACGAUGGUGACGGUACCCGCAGAAGAAGCCCCGGCUAACUUCGUG
rnacentral:rRNA from 1 species